CGCGAAUGGCUCAUUACAACAGCUAUAAUUCACUUGAUCUUGACACAAUCCUACACUUGGAUAACUGUGGUAAUUCUAGAGCUAAUACAUGCAUUAAAGCUCUGACCUCCUCACGGAAAGAGUGCAUUUAUUAGAACAAAACCAAGCGGCUUUGGCUGUUUUUGGUUGACUCAUAGUAACUGAGCUGAUCGCAUGGUCUUGCACCGGCGACGUGUCUUUCAAGUAUCUGCCGCAUCAACUUUCGAUGGUAGUGUAUCUGACUACCAUGGUGAUCACGCGUAACGGAGAAUAAGGGUUCGACUCCGGAGAGUUCGCCUGAGAAAUCGCGAACACAUCUAAGGAAGGCAGCAGGCGCGAAAAUUACCCACUCUCAGCACGAGGAGGUAGUGACGAAAAAUAACGAGACCGUUCUCUUUCGAGGCCGGUCAUCGGAAUGGGUACAAUUUAAACCCUUUAACGAGUAUCUAUGAGAGGGCAAGUCUGGUGCCAGCAGCCGCGGUAAUUCCAGCU
rnacentral:rRNA from 1 species